rnacentral:rRNA from 1 species
GACGAACGCUGGCGGCGUGCCUAAUACAUGCAAGUUGAGCGAUGAAGAUUGGUGCUUGCACCAAUUUGAAGAGCAGCGAACGGGUGAGUAACGCGUGGGGAAUCUGCCUUUGAGCGGGGGACAACAUUUGGAAACGAAUGCUAAUACCGCAUAACAACUUUAAACAUAAGUUUUAAGUUUGAAAGAUGCAAUUGCAUCACUCAAAGAUGAUCCCGCGUUGUAUUAGCUAGUUGGUGAGGUAAAGGCUCACCAAGGCGAUGAUACAUAGCCGACCUGAGAGGGGGAUCGGACAAAGUGGGACUGAGACCCGGCCCAAACUCCUACGGGAGGCAGCAGUGGGGAAUUUUCGGCAAUGGACGAAAGUCUGACCGAGCAACGCCGCGGGGGUGAAGAAGGUUUUCGGAUCGGAAAACCCUGUUGGUAGGGAAGAACGUUGGUGAGGGUGGAAAGCUCAUCAAGGGACGGUAACUACCCAGAAAGGGACGGCUAACUACGU